CCGCGGUGUGCACCAAGCAGAGCUCAGGGGGUGGUGCGCCUGGCCCCUCUGCCCCGCGCAGCCCAGCCCAGCCCAGGACCUCUUUCCUUGAAGUAAGCAUUUAUCAUGCUUCUUAAUUUAAUGCACAGUCACCACAUCAGGGCAAAGAUCUCUCCCUUGGUGACGUCCCAAGCUUUGGACGUCCUUGGUCUUGGUGGGCCAGCUAGGCUGUGGGAAGCCCAAAAGAAGUUAAAAAGCAAAAGAGGUCUUAAACAAAUGUGCCCAUCACCCUCUCAGGAGUGGAGAAUGGAAGGGAGGGAGGCGGGGCCCUGUGUCUGGCCUGUUGCUGUGAAGAGGAGAAACGAGGCCAAAGGACCUGGAUGACUAUGCAGGUGGCUCCUGCACCUGUGCCAGCUCCUGCAAAUGCAAAGAGUGCGCAUGCACCUCCUGCAAGAAGAGUGAGUACAGGACCAUCUCCAGGAAUCUGGGGGCUGGGCAGAGUCAAAGGAGGGAUCUCCACAGGCGGGAGCAGACCAAUGAUGAGCCUCCCACAUCUCCUUGCUUCAGCAAAUGACUUAGGAUCACAACUGGAAGAACACUAGAGAUGGUUAAUUCCCAAUCUUCAUUCUUACCAUGGGGAAGCUGACACCAGGUGCGCACACCAGCAUCCCAAGCACAGACCUGACACUUGAGGACUUUCCUCACUUAAGUGUAUCAUUCUGGGAGACUGUCCUUCCUUUUACUGCAAAAGGCAUGUCACUCCCUCUCCAGGCUUCUACCAUGUCCUGGGCACAGGAGGGGUGGGCAGCUUUUUCAUGGCAAGACCCUCACCCCAAAUAUUCAGGAGUUGUCUACUGACAAGCAAUGCCACCCUGAACUAAGGGUCCUUGGGGCUGGAGGCAAAGCUUGAGCCAGGCCUCUGUUGGGGCAGGGAGGUCUCUGGUUGAGUCUGCUCUGACCUCUCACUCUCCCCUUCUUCCCCAGGCUGCUGCUCCUGCUGCCCUGUGGGCUGUGCCAAGUGUGCCCAGGGCUGUGUAUGCAAAGGGGUAUCAGAGAGGUGCAGCUACUGUGCCUGAUG